rnacentral:rRNA from 1 species
UACGAAGGGGGCUAGCGUUGUUCGGAUUUACUGGGCGUAAAGCGCACGUAGGCGGAUCUUUAAGUCAGAGGUGAAAUCCCCAGCUUAACCUGGGAACUGCAUCCGAUACUGGAUGGCUUGAAUUCGGGAGAGGGAUGCAGAAUUCCAGGUGUAGCGGUGAAAUGCGUAGAUAUCUGGAGGAAUACCGGUGGCGAAGGCGGCAUCCUGGACCGACAUUGACGCUGAACGGCGAAAGCUAGGGGAGCAAACGGG